rnacentral:rRNA from 1 species
UACGGAGGGGGCUAGCGUUGUUCGGAAUUACUGGGCGUAAAGCGCACGUAGGCGGCUUUGUAAGUUAGAGGUGAAAGCCCAGGGCUUAACCCUGGAAUUGCCUUUAAGACUGCAUCGCUAGAAUCGUGGAGAGGUGAGUGGAAUUCCGAGCGUAGAGGUGAAAUUCGUAGAUAUUCGGAAGAACACCAGUGGCGAAGGCGACUCACUGGACACGUAUUGACGCUGAGGUGCGAAAGCGUGGGGAGCAAACAGG